rnacentral:lncRNA from 10 species
AUGCUAAAUGCCAGGCUAAAUGCAAGAAUAAUUUUUAGGAAGUUGUUACUACUAUUAUAAUUGAAUUUACAAUUUACAUUUGAUUGAAAGAAUUCAUUAAAAUGUAGCAUUUCAAGUUUCUUCUUUAUUAUAUUUAUUUUUAUACUACCUUUCGCUCUACAAGUUGUCUAGGCAAAGAAAAUACUUGUAAAAUGAGUUUCUGGCUUCUUAAAAUGACACACUAGUGAGUAUACAUUGAGUGAAUGCUGUAUUUCCACAAACAUUUUCAAAACAGGGUUUUUUUUGAAGAGGAGGGUUGCAGGGGAAUGGGGUGGUGCCCAUCUCUGCACACUCUGGGAUAGGGAUCCAUCAGCUUGUGAUAAUACAUCAUGACACCCUAGAGAGUCACUCUCCCUCCACAGCCCUUCACAGUAGAGCCCCAAAUGGACUCUUGCUUUAAACAUAAUAUGGAUGAGCAAUAGAGAAAAUACAGAUGGACAAUUGCUUUUCUAGUGUGUGACCCACAGCAGGUCCCAGCUCCUUUAUUUCAAGAAAUCCAGAGCAAUUAAUGUUCCUAACUUACCUCCUCCUUCCUGGGCAGGGGAGGACACCCCUCCAUCUAGGAGCAUGUAAGCCUGAACAACAACCCUUAAUCCACAGAAAGGAGCCAAUAGUAAAACUGAAGUGAAUGAUCCCUUCCUCUAAUUUAUCAAAUACAGUCAGCCUGUCUACAAUACUUGAUUGGGAGAAAUUGCAUCAGUGUUUUUGGUCAUGGGUAAAGCAUCAGGGACUAGAAGAGGCAAGUAAGGUAAUUGCCUGGGGUGCAAAAUUUAAGGGGAAAUGAGGAAGGUGCCCCAAAACUCAGUGAUCAGAAUAAAUAAUAUUUUAAUGAUAUUUUUAAAACUUAAAAUUACUGCAAAAACUUCAUGAUGAGGAAAAUAUCAACAUUUUAAAUAAAAACAAGAUUGAUAUUACUGAUUUUGUUGUUCUAGAGUGGCUCAGCAUGGAACUGCCCAGUAUACACUGAAAUAAGUGGAAGAGAAAGUUAAAGGGAGCCUGUCGCUAUCUUUGUAACUUCGGUGGUUCUAUUUGGGUACGCUGAACACCUUCUGGAAGCAGAAAUCUAUCAUGUGUUGUCAAUGCUGUGAAAAUUGUGCUUGGGAGCAACACAUUGGAGCUGAUGGUGGUAGUUGACUCACAGGGUGUAGUCCUGGUCUGCCACUCACAGUUGUGUGACCUUGGGCAAGUCAUUUGACUUUUCUCAUGUCACUUUCCUUUCUCAAGUCAACAUCCUUAAAAGGAUGUUGGAGAAAAAUAAACAUUUUAAGAUAUUUCUGGAACCUGCCCAUAUCAACAAGGGACUUGGAUGGAUUAAAAUGGAUGAUUUGGGUGUUGAAUUGAGUAUUUAUUCAAGGUUAACCUGAAUUAUUAAUUAUUUUGUUGAUUCUCCAAAUAACAUUUCAUUAGGUCACCUUUUGCCUCCUUAAUCUGAGUACGAGAGAGGCCCUGACUUCAACUCCAAGGGCUGGUGGUAAAUUCUAUUUCAUUCCCUGCCAAGAUUAUAUCUGCUUUGAGGAUUCAUAAAAGACUUGAGAGUUUAUUAAUCCUCUGCUUUUAAUUAACGUUUUGUUUGUUUUAGUUUUUUGUUUGUUUUUGAGACAGGGUCUUGCUUUUUUACCCAGGCUGGAGUGCAAUGGCUCAAUCACAGCUCACUGUUACCUCAAAUUCCUGAUCUCAAGGGAUCCUCCUGCCUCAGCCUCCUAAGUGACUGGAACUACAGGAUAAUUUCAUCAGUCUCCAACCCUUGUGAUCACGUCCCAAAAUGACUCGUCAGGUGAAGCCCCGGCAGAAGAUUGCUUGUCACCUGUAGGAAGUAGCUGUCUGCUCUGAGUACUCUUUCCUCAUAAAUGAAGAAGAAAUAUGCAUCUGGGUUCAUUUUUGAAGGUUACUAUGGAAAACAUCCAUUUAAGUACAUUUAAGAAUUUUUUUUAAUUAAAAAAAUUUCACAUUUGAGGAAAUGGACUUAAAGAUGGUGGGUAAUUUGCCAAAAGUCACAUAGCUCGUCAGGUUUGCCUUCUUCUUUCAUGAGGACUGUUGAUGUUUUAUUGAAACCCAAUCAGUCUUUAUGGUGUUCCUAUGUGUUAAGCCUGAGCUCCAGGAAUUCUCACUAAUUUGUGAGGAAAUGUUUACACCAAUGGCUGGCUGAACUUUGUUGUUAUGACUCAUUUCCCAUUGGUGAAGAUACAAUUUAUUUAUCCUGUUGGAAUUGGAUGUGUCUAUCUUAUGCAUAUCCCAGAUUUGUUUCUGAGAGGCACACAACACAUUUGAUUUCACAGUUUCACAGCUAGAGAGGAAUUUGCCUCAGAAUAAAUUGUAUCUUGAAUCUCACCAAAAUCUGAUUUAGAUAAUAUUUAGAUAAGACUUUGUACUUUAGAUUUUUGAGUUGAUGCUGGAACAGGCGAAGACUUUUGGGGCUGUUUGGAUAGAAGGAAUGUAUUUUGCAUGUGAGAAGUACAUAAAUUUGGGGAUAUCAGGGGUGGAAUGCUAUAGACUGAAUGUUUGUGUCCUCCCAAAAUUCAUAUGUUGAAAUCCUAGCCCCCAGUCUGAGGAUACUAGGAGGUAGGGCCUCUGGGAGGUACAUCAUGAGAAUAGAGCCCUCAUGAAUAGUAUUAAUAUUCUUAUAAAAGAGACUCCAGAAAAUUUCAUGAUCCCUUCUGCCAUGUGAGGACUCAAUGAGGUGACUUCUAUCUAUGAACUUGGAAUCAGGCACUCACCAGACACUGAAUCUGCUGGCACCUUGACCUUGGACUUUCCAGCCUCCAGAACUUUGGGAAAUAAAUUUCUGUUAUUUAUAAGCCACCCAGUCUUUGCUAUUCUUUUGUAGCAGCCUAACUAGUCUAAGACAAAGCAUUAAGAAAAUAAAACUUAUUAUAGGUUUUGUUUCGCUUUUUAAAUAAUUUUUAAUUGUAAAUAAAUAUAUGUAAAUAAUAAUGGCUACAAAGCAUUUAAGGUAUGCUGGGUACAUAUCUUAAGCAUUUUAUGUAUAUUAUCCACUUAGCCUUCAUUUAUUCUCAUGAGGUAAGUUCUAGUAUCUUUAUUUUACAGGCAAAGAAAUAAACUUAGAGAUGGUAAUUUGCCAAAUGUCAAAUAGUUCAUCAUAUCUGCAUGAUUUUCUUUAUUUCUAACUAAUUAGCAACAAAUCAUUAUUUCAAUCAGGUGACACAGUUGCCUCUCUUACACUUUUAAGCUUAAUCUAGAAUGAAAUAAUUUACACUAUGUAUUUAGGCAUCAUGGUUAAUCUAAUACAAUUCUCAGCCAGCUACUUCAUUCAUUCAUUCAUUCAUUAAUCUAACAUCUAUUAAGCAUUUUCUGUGUGUCAGGCACUAGGGAUACAGAGGUGAACAAAUUAAAUACAGCCCUUGCCCUUGGUAGAGUGGAGGACUCACCUGAGUGUGCAAGUCAUAAUGUAAAUUAUGCAAAUGAUUGUUUGAUCACUGCCUAUGAGGGCCUCAAAGAAGAAAUCAAGGGGCAAUGAGCGUGUUUAGUUAGCGUGGCUGAAGCAAAUCUCCAGAGGAUGGGUCUCCUAAGUUGGGCCAUAGAGGAUGUCUAUCUCUCCAAAUGACACAGGGCCUCUCAGGGACCCAGCAUGCAGCAGAUAUAUUCACCCAACAGAUUCAUUGUCCCAAAUCACUGCACAGAUUCUCUUCUCCCUAUCUUAGAAUGAUUUGGCAGAGAGGCUUCUGGGACCUCAACAGUGUAGUUGCCUUGGUAUCUUAGUAAGGGAGAAGAGCAGAACUGGAGAGGGACAGUGAGCUUAGGGUUGUGCUCAGCAAUCCCAACCUGGAUGUUGAGGGUGGGUGGACAUGAACUCAAGCUUUACUUGGAUCAGUCAGUCUUUUUAUCUUAGGGGUGGUAAAUGGGACACAGGUACAGGAGAUUCAGAGCAGUGGCCAUGCUUGAAGUUAGGAUUCUUAGUAGGUUUGAAGCAAGAUAUUAAAUAGUCUGGUAGGUCCCCAUAAGUUCUCAUCCAGUUGAUUCAGGGUCCUGAGAAGCAUUCUAGGUCGAGGCACAGUCCCAGGAGCAGAUCUGCAGAGUAUUCAAGAUAUAGUCGGAAUCUUAUUAGUUGUCUUGAGGUGGAUUAGAUCAGGGCCUGGGAAGGGGCUAAGCCUGCAGUUUAGAAGCUGCAGUGAGAAGACCUAAGCAUGUCAGGUUCCAGAGCUAUUAUCUAUUCCCUUGCUUAAAAUAAACUGUGCCAAUACAUGUAGGUUGAUCCUUCUGCCCUGAUGGGCUUGACCAGAACAUUCUUUCCAUCCCUAGUUUUGUAUUAAUAAUUGAAUUCCCAGAGCACAAAUUUGCUUUCCAGAUAUCACCAAAUACGUCUUCAUCAGGGACCCCAGUACUGCAGGCCCUUUGUUGUCACUUUGCCCAAACUCAUCUACAAAAAAGUAAAAGGCAUCUGCUCCUCAUCAUUGAGGUAUCUUGAUAUUCUCUGGAGGAAGAAAAGACUUUUCUGCAUAAAGCAAUGUAAGGCAAGGUAUCAGUAGGUUUUCUGCUGCUAUAAUAGAAUACCAGUUUUAUUUGGCUCAUGGUGCUGGAGGCUUGGGAAGUCCAAGAGCCUGGCAUCAGCAUCCGACAGGGCCAUCCCACGGAGGAAGGGAAAGCAGGCACAUGAGACAGGGAAAACGGGCCUGAAUUCCCAAGAUAUCUAACCCAUUCUCUCCACAGUGGCAUUAGCCCACUUAUGAGGGCAGAGCCCUCAAUACCUAAUCACCUCUUGAAAGUCCCACCUCUUCAUUGUCAUAAUGGCAAUUAAAUUUCAACAUGAAUUUUGGAGGGAACAUUCAAACUGUAGCAGGUAAUAAAUGCAGUUAAUAACUGUAAUGAAGUAAAAGUGACAUGUA